rnacentral:rRNA from 2 species
UGGCCUCAAAUCGGGU